rnacentral:rRNA from 1 species
UACGAAGGGUGCAAGCGUUACUCGGAAUUACUGGGCGUAAAGCGUGCGCAGGCGGCUUUGCAAGACAGAUGUGAAAUCCCCGGGCUUAGCCUGGGAACUGCAUUUGUGACUGCAUGGCUGGAGUGCGGCAGAGGGGGAUGGAAUUCCGCGUGUAGCAGUGAAAUGCGUAGAUAUGCGGAGGAACACCGAUGGCGAAGGCAAUCCGCUGGGCCUGCACUGACGCUCAUGCACGAAAGCGUGGGGAGCAAACAGG